rnacentral:rRNA from 1 species
CACGUAGGAGGCAAACGUUAUCCGGAUUUACUGGGCGUAAAGGGUGCGUAGGCGGUCUUUCAAGUCAGGAGUGAAAGGCUACGGCUCAACCGUAGUAAGCUCUUGAAACUGUAAAACUUGAGUGCAGGAGAGGAGAGUGGAAUUCCUAGUGUAGCGGUGAAAUGCGUAGAUAUUAGGAGGAACACCAGUUGCGAAGGCGGCUCUCUGGACUGUAACUGACGCUGAGGCACGAAAGCGUGGGGAGCAAACAGGAUUAGAUACCCCGGUAGUCCCUGAG